ACGUGUAAACGAGUAGCGAGUAGCCCGUCCGUCCCAUAGUGCCCAGAGUCCCUGCUCUCCCACCCCAACCCAGAAGCCAUGCUUGGACAAAUGCCCAGAUUCCCUCUGCUCUAACCACAGAAGCAAGGACUCUCAGGGCCAGAAAGAGCUUCAAGAAACUGGCCCAACUCUGUCACUGCUUCAACCUCAAACACAGACAAUGCUUGCCUGCCUUGGCAUACCGGGAUGUCCCGGGGCCUUCUGCCUUCCUGCUAUUCCUGCUUCUCCUGCUUGUUUGCCCACAGCCCAGCUCAGGCCCAGAAAGGAGGAACCCUGGGAGGCAGAGCCCAUCGUGGCCCUUGUACGGAGGCCCGGGUCAAUGUCCAGGAAGGUGGGAGAAGGAGGUAAACAGCAAACAAACCUGAAUUUUCUGAAGGAGCCAGACUGCUUGCUG